rnacentral:rRNA from 1 species
GAUGAACGCUGGCGGCGUGCUUAACACAUGCAAGUCGAACGGUGAAGGCGGAGCUUGCUCUGCUGGAUCAGUGGCGAACGGGUGAGUAACACGUGAGCAAUCUGCCCCUGACUCUGGGAUAAGCGCUGGAAACGGCGUCUAAUACUGGAUACGAGCUGCGAAGGCAUCUUCAGCAGCUGGGAGGAAUUUCGGUCAGGGAUGAGCUCGCGGCCUAUCAGCUUGUUGGUGAGGUAAUGGCUCACCAAGGCGUCGACGGGUAGCCGGCCUGAGAGGGUGACCGGCCACACUGGGACUGAGACACGGCCCAGACUCCUACGGGAGGCAGCAGUGGGGAAUAUUGCACAAUGGGCGAAAGCCUGAUGCAGCAACGCCGCGUGAGGGACGACGGCCUUCGGGUUGUAAACCUCUUUUAGCAGGGAAGAAGCGAAAGUGACGGUACCUGCAGAAAAAGCGCCGGCUAACUACGUG